UGGCAAACCAGUUAAAUGAGUUACAUUC
rnacentral:piRNA from 1 species